rnacentral:rRNA from 1 species
AUUGAACGCUGGCGGCAUGCUUUACACAUGCAAGUCGAACGGUAACAGGGAGCUUGCUCCGCUGACGAGUGGCGAACGGGUGAGUAAUAUAUCGGAACGUGCCCAGUCGUGGGGGAUAACUGCUCGAAAGAGCAGCUAAUACCGCAUACGACCUGAGGGUGAAAGCGGGGGAUCGCAAGACCUCGCGCGAUUGGAGCGGCCGAUAUCAGAUUAGCUAGUUGGCGGGGUAAAAGCCCACCAAGGCAACGAUCUGUAGCUGGUCUGAGAGGACGACCAGCCACACUGGGACUGAGACACGGCCCAGACUCCUACGGGAGGCAGCAGUGGGGAAUUUUGGACAAUGGACGCAAGUCUGAUCCAGCCAUGCCGCGUGCGGGAAGAAGGCCUUCGGGUUGUAAACCGCUUUUGUCAGGGAAGAAAAGGUUCUGGUUAAUACCUGGGACUCAUGACGGUACCUGAAGAAUAAGCACCGGCUAACUACGUGCCAGCAGCCGCCGUAAAAC